CCUACGGGAGGCAGCAGUGAGGAAUAUUGGUCAAUGGUCGGGAGACUGAACCAGCCAAGCCGCGUGAGGGAGGAAGGUACAGAGUAUCGUAAACCUCUUUUGUCAGGGAACAAAGGCGGGGACGUGUCCCCGGAUGAGUGUACCUGAAGAAAAAGCAUCGGCUAACUCCGUGCCAGCAGCCGCGGUAAUACGGAGGAUGCGAGCGUUAACCGGAUUUAUUGGGGUUAAAGGGUGAGCAGGCGGUCCGUUAAGUCAGAGGGCAAAGCCCCGGGCUCAACCCCGGCACGGCGGUUGAAAUGGGCAGUCUCGAGUUGGAGAGAGGUAUGCAGAAUGCGCGGUGUAGCGGUGAAAUGCAUAGAUAUCGCGCAGAACUCCGAUUGCGAAGGCAGCAUGCCGGCUCCACACUGACGCUGAGGCACGAAAGCGUGGGUAUCGAACAGGAUUAGAUACCCUUGUAGUC
rnacentral:rRNA from 1 species